ensembl:snRNA U6 U6 spliceosomal RNA
UUGCUUAGGUAGCACAUAUACUAAAAUUAGAAUGACAUAAAGAAGACUAGCGUGGCCCCUGUGCAAGCAGGACACACAACUUUGUGAAGGAUUCCUUUUUUUU